rnacentral:rRNA from 1 species
AGUGAACGCUGGCGGUAGGCCUAACACAUGCAAGUCGAACGGCAGCACAGUAAGAGCUUGCUCUUACGGGUGGCGAGUGGCGGACGGGUGAGGAAUGCAUCGGAAUCUACUUUUUCGUGGGGGAUAACGUAGGGAAACUUACGCUAAUACCGCAUACGACCUACGGGUGAAAGCAGGGGAUCUUCGGACCUUGCGCGAUUGAAUGAGCCGAUGUCGGAUUAGCUAGGUGGCGGGGUAAAGGCCCACCAAGGCGACGAUCCGUAGCUGGUCUGAGAGGAUGAUCAGCCACACUGGAACUGAGACACGGUCCAGACUCCUACGGGAGGCAGCAGUGGGGAAUAUUGGACAAUGGGCGCAAGCCUGAUCCAGCCAUACCGCGUGGGUGAAGAAGGCCUUCGGGUUGUAAAGCCCUUUUGUUGGGAAAGAAAAGCAGCAGGUUAAUACCCCGCUGUUCUGACGGUACCCAAAGAAUAAGCACCGGCUAACUUCGUG